rnacentral:rRNA from 1 species
CAAACUGGGAUUAGAUACCCCACUAUGCUUAGCCCUAAACUAAAACAAUCAAAUAACAAGACUGUUCGCCAGAGAACUACUAGCAAUAGCUUAAAACUCAAAGGACUUGGCGGUGCUUUAUAUCCAUCUAGAGGAGCCUGUUCU